rnacentral:rRNA from 2 species
UAGAGAAUACCAAGGCGCUUGAGAGAACUCGGGUGAAGGAACUAGGCAAAAUGGUGCCGUAACUUCGGGAGAAGGCACGCUGAUAUGUAGGUGAAGUCCCUCGCGGAUGGAGCUGAAAUCAGUCGAAGAUACCAGCUGGCUGCAACUGUUUAUUAAAAACACAGCACUGUGCAAACACGAAAGUGGACGUAUACGGUGUGACGCCUGCCCGGUGCCGGAAGGUUAAUUGAUGGGGUCAGCGCAAGCGAAGCUCUUGAUCGAAGCCCCGGUAAACGGCGGCCGUAACUAUAACGGUCCUAAGGUAGCGAAAUUCCUUGUCGGGUAAGUUCCGACCUGCACGAAUGGCGUAAUGAUGGCCAGGCUGUCUCCACCCGAGACUCAGUGAAAUUGAACUCGCUGUGAAGAUGCAGUGUACCCGCGGCAAGACGGAAAGACCCCGUGAACCUUUACUAUAGCUUGACACUGAACAUUGAGCCUUGAUGUGUAGGAUAGGUGGGAGGCUUUGAAGUGUGGACGCCAGUCUGCAUGGAGCCGACCUUGAAAUACCACCCUUUAAUGUUUGAUGUUCUAACGUGGACCCGUGAUCCGGGUUGCGGACAGUGUCUGGUGGGUAGUUUGACUGGGGCGGUCUCCUCCUAAAGAGUAACGGAGGAGCACGAAGGUUGGCUAAUCCUGGUCGGACAUCAGGAGGUUAGUGCAAUGGCAUAAGCCAGCUUGACUGCGAGCGUGACGGCGCGAGCAGGUGCGAAAGCAGGUCAUAGUGAUCCGGUGGUUCUGAAUGGAAGGGCCAUCGCUCAACGGAUAAAAGGUACUCCGGGGAUAACAGGCUGAUACCGCCCAAGAGUUCAUAUCGACGGCGGUGUUUGGCACCUCGAUGUCGGCUCAUCACAUCCUGGGGCUGAAGUAGGUCCCAAGGGUAUGGCUGUUCGCCAUUUAAAGUGGUACGCGAGCUGGGUUUAGAACGUCGUGAGACAGUUCGGUCCCUAUCUGCCGUGGGCGCUGGAGAACUGAGGGGGGCUGCUCCUAGUACGAGAGGACCGGAGUGGACGCAUCACUGGUGUUCGGGUUGUCAUGCCAAUGGCACUGCCCGGUAGCUAAAUGCGGAAGAGAUAAGUGCUGAAAGCAUCUAAGCACGAAACUUGCCCCGAGAUGAGUUCUCCCUGACCCUUUAAGGGUCCUGAAGGAACGUUGAAGACGACGACGUUGAUAGGCCGGGUGUGUAAGCGCAGCGAUGCGUUGAGCUAACCGGUACUAAUGAACCGUGAGGCUUAACCUU